rnacentral:rRNA from 1 species
CAUGCAAGUCGAACGGUGAAGCCAAGCUUGCUUGGUGGAUCAGUGGCGAACGGGUGAGUAACACGUGAGCAACCUGCCCUGGACUCUGGGAUAAGCGCUGGAAACGGCGUCUAAUACUGGAUAUGAGCCNCUAUCGCAUGGUGGGGGUUGGAAAGAUUUUUUGGUCUGGGAUGGGCUCGCGGCCUAUCAGCUUGUUGGUGAGGUAAUGGCUCACCAAGGCGUCGACGGGUAGCCGGCCUGAGAGGGUGACCGGCCACACUGGGACUGAGACACGGCCCAGACUCCUACGGGAGGCAGCAGUGGGGAAUAUUGCACAAUGGGCGAAAGCCUGAUGCAGCAACGCCGCGUGAGGGAUGACGGCCUUCGGGUUGUAAACCUCUUUUAGCAGGGAAGAAGCGAAAGUGACGGUACCUGCAGAAAAAGCGCCGGCUAACUACGUGCCAGCAGCCGCGGUAAUACGUAGGGCGCAAGCGUUAUCCGGAAUUAUUGGGCNGUAAAAGAAGGCUUCGUAGGUCGGUUUGUCGCGUCUGCUGUGAAAUCCCGAGGCUCAACCCUCGGGCCUGCAGUGGGUACGGGCAGACUAGAGUGCGGUAGGGGAGAUUGGAAUUCCUGGUGUAGCGGUGGAAUGCGCAGAUAUCAGGAGGAACACCGAUGGCGAAGGCAGAUCUCUGGGCCGUAACUGACGCUGAGGAGCGAAAGGGUGGGGAGCAAACAGGCUUAGAUACCCUGGUAGUCCACCCCGUAAACGUUGGGAACUAGUUGUGGGGACCAUUCCACGGUUUCCGUGACGCAGCUAACGCAUUAAGUUCCCCGCCUGGGGAGUACGGCCGCAAGGCUAAAACUCAAAGGAAUUGACGGGGACCCGCACAAGCGGCGGAGCAUGCGGAUUAAUUCGAUGCAACGCGAAGAACCUUACCAAGGCUUGACACUANACCAGAACGGAACAGAAAAUGUGUNCAAANACUCUUUGGACACUGGUNAACAGGUGGUGCAUGGUUGUCGUCAGCUCGUGUCGUGAGAUGUUGGGUUAAGUCCCGCAACGAGCGCAACCCUCGUUCUAUGUUGCCAGCACGUAAUGGUGGGAACUCAUGGGAUACUGCCGGGGUCAACUCGGAGGAAGGUGGGGAUGACGUCAAAUCAUCAUGCCCCUUAUGUCUUGGGCUUCACGCAUGCUACAAUGGCCGGUACAAAGGGCUGCAAUACCGUGAGGUGGAGCGAAUCCCAAAAAGCCGGUCCCAGUUCGGAUUGAGGUCUGCAACUCGACCUCAUGAAGUCGGAGUCGCUAGUAAUCGCAGAUCAGCAACGCUGCGGUGAAUACGUUCCCGGGUCUUGUACACACCGCCCGUCAAGUCAUGAAAGUCGGUAACACCUGAAGCCGGUGGCCCAACCCUUGUGGAGGGAGCCGUCGAAGGUGGGAUCGGUAAUUAGGACUAAGUCG